AGUCAUCUGUGGUGUUCGUAAGUUUGCUUUUUAUUUGGGCCUAACACUCUUUGAUCAGGGAGCCCAAUAGGUUUUCUCGCAGCGCACACGCGCCUCUAUAGGAGGACUUGCAAAACGAGAAACAGGGCACCCACCUGUAUAUAGCAGGCCGAAUGAUCAAGCUAUUUAUAACUACGGCAUCAACGGACUCUAU
rnacentral:other from 1 species